UACGGGGGGAACAAGCGUUGUUCGGAUUUACUGGGCGUAAAGGGCGCGUAGGCGGCCACCGCAAGUCAGUUGUGAAAUCUCUGGGCUUAACCCAGAAAGGUCAACUGAUACUGCGGGGCUGGAGUGCAGAAGGGGCAACUGGAAUUCUCGGUGUAGCGGUGAAAUGCGUAGAUAUCGAGAGGAACACCUGCGGCGAAGGCGGGUUGCUGGGCUGACACUGACGCUGAAGCGCGAAAGCUAGGGGAGCGAACGGG
rnacentral:rRNA from 1 species